UCCUCCUUAGCUCAGUGGUAGAGCGCGUCACUAGUACUGCUUUGUUGGUAUGACGAGGUCAGUCGUUCAAGUCGGCUAGGAGGAA